rnacentral:rRNA from 1 species
GACAGAGGUGGCAAGCGUUGCUCGGAUUCACUGGGCUUAAAGGGCGCGUAGGUGGUCUUGUAAGUCAAAGGUGGAAUUCCACAGCUUAACUGUGGAACUGCCUUUGAUACUGCAAGGCUUGAGUCAGGUAGAGGAGGGCGGAAUUCCCGGUGUAGCGGUGAAAUGCGUAGAUAUCGGGAGGAAGGCCGGUGGCGAAGGCGGCCCUCUGGGCCUGUACUGACACUGAGGCGCGAAAGCGUAGGGAGCAAACAGG